GAUAAGGAGCUUGCUCCUUUGACGUUAGCGGCGGACGGGUGAGUAACACGUGGGUAACCUACCUAUAAGACUGGAAUAACUCCGGGAAACCGGGGCUAAUGCCGGAUAACAUUUAGAACCGCAUGGUUCUAAAGUGAAAGAUGGUUUUGCUAUCACUUAUAGAUGGACCCGCGCCGUAUUAGCUAGUUGGUAAGGUAACGGCUUACCAAGGCAACGAUACGUAGCCGACCUGAGAGGGUGAUCGGCCACACUGGAACUGAGACACGGUCCAGACUCCUACGGGAGGCAGCAGUAGGGAAUCUUCCGCAAUGGGCGAAAGCCUGACGGAGCAACGCCGCGUGAGUGAUGAAGGUCUUCGGAUCGUAAAACUCUGUUAUUAGGGAAGAACAAAUGUGUAAGUAACUGUGCACGUCUUGACGGUACCUAAUCAGAAAGCCACGGCUAACUACGUGCCAGCAGCCGCGGUAAUACGUAGGUGGCAAGCGUUAUCCGGAAUUAUUGGGCGUAAAGCGCGCGUAGGCGGUUUCUUAAGUCUGAUGUGAAAGCCCACGGCUCAACCGUGGAGGGUCAUUGGAAACUGGGAAACUUGAGUGCAGAAGAGGAAAGUGGAAUUCCAUGUGUAGCGGUGAAAUGCGCAGAGAUAUGGAGGAACACCAGUGGCGAA
rnacentral:rRNA from 1 species